CUACAAUGGCCGGUACAGAGAGCAGCCACCCCGCGAGGGGGAGCGAAUCUACAAAACCGGUCUCAGUUCGGAUCGCAGUCUGCAACUCGACUGCGUGAAACUGGAAUCGCUAGUAAUCGCGCAUCAGCCAUGGCGCGGUGAAUACGUUCCCGGGCCUUGUACACACCGCCCGUCAAGCCAUGGAAGUCUGGGGGACCUGAAGACGGUAACCGCAAGGAGCCGUUAAGGGUAAAACAGGUAACUAGGGCUAAGUCGUAACAAGGUAAC
rnacentral:rRNA from 1 species